GAAAAUUCUACUCAACUCCCCGCCACCACCACCACCACCACGAAGUUGUUUUCUGGUUCUGAGAGUAAAAGUGUUUCCCAAACUAUGUAUUCCAUCCUCCCUGGUAGCACAGACAUGAAAAUGAAAUUGAAGAGACACCCUAACGCCUGCACUUCUGUCUGUGUGCACAUGGGAAAUGACUGCACUCAGGUAAUCUGGAAUCUACUUGUCACAGUUUGUAGAUUUUAUGAUGCAAUUUUUGUCCAGUAAUUUUAGCAAAAACAUAUUGAAGAUGUAUAUUGUCCUGAUGAGAACUGGAGCGAGAUGGUGGAGAAAGGAGCCAUCUAAGAUUCAUGCAAUGGAUUUUCAAAUCCAAUGACUGUUUAUGAAAAUAAUUUUGUACCCUCAGCAUCUAUGUUCAAUGCAGCUGAAAUCUUCCCAGAGCGAAGAAAUGCAUCAAAAAAGAAAAAGGAAAUGAAGAAAGAGGGAAGAAAAGAGAAAAAAGAAAGGAAACAGAUUUUACUUUUAGCUCAUCUUCAGAUUUGCAAGAGACAAUAAGUGAGAUUCAUUAGGCCAUUUGUUUCUGUCAUCUGCCAUGAUUCAAAAUGAAAUACUAAAUGUUUCAUGGACUCAGAAAAAGAGGAAAAUUUGUCUUUGUGUUGGCUGUGUGAAGACGGUGUGUCUUCCAGCCCCAUCCGAGGGGUCUGACGGAUGAAGGGGGAAGGGUGGUACCGUCUGAGUGAUGAUGGGCUAAUAUCAUCACCCUCUUGUCAGCUGUAAUAGGCUUUUCCUCACAGAAAUAAUUCAUAAAACCACUACAUUAUAUUCUAUCCCUGACAGCCCCUAUCUAUCCUCCAACCCAGCAGGCUUACAACUAAUAAGAAAAUAUGUGGUUCAGGAACCUUGAAAAAUUAAAC
rnacentral:lncRNA from 1 species